GAUGAAGAACGCAGCGAAAUGCGAUAAGUAGUGUGAAUUGCAGAAUUCAGUGAAUCAUCGAAUCUUUGAACGCACAUUGCGCCCUUUGGUAUUCCAAAGGGCAUGCCUGUUCGAGCGUCAUUUGUACCCUCAAGCUUUGCUUGGUGUUGGGCGUCUUGUCUCUAGCUUUGCUGGAGACUCGCCUUAAAGUAAUUGGCAGCCGGCCUACUGGUUUCGGAGCGCAGCACGAGUCGCACUCUCUAUCAGCAAAGGUCUAGCAUCCAUUAAGCCUUUUUUCAACUUUUGACCUCGGAUCAGGUAGGGAUACCCGCUGAACUUAAGCAUAUCAUAAGCGGAGGA
rnacentral:misc_RNA from 1 species